ensembl:lncRNA
CCAAGUAAAAAGGUGGAAACAUUUUAAUGACUGUUGAGAUGAGCACCUCAUUACCAAAUCUACAGCCAAUUCAGUGUGGACGGCUUCUGUUUAGAAGGCAGCUUGUUGGAGCCAGGCUGUGCUCUGUGCUUUGAGAGAUCCUGCUUACAGACAGCACUCCUUCCUUUAAGUAGCACUAACUUUCUCGUCUGCCUCAAGCAAUUCUUUGGGAUGUCACACAUCAAAACACAGCUUUUCUUCAUUCAUCCUAAUAGGUAGCAAAGAGUUCAGAGUUUUUAGGUUCAGAGGCUGAUGUAGUCUUGUUUUGACCUUUCUCAACAGGCUGAAUGCCCUGCAGUGCUCUGCACUGGAGUGUGGUGAGCACAGCAGAAUCCACGUCAAUCUCAUGAGGAGAGGCAGCACAUCUGAGAUGCACCACAGCUUAACAGCACUACCCCAGUAUCUUAAAAUCUGAUGUUGCAGCCCAUUUGCUGCAAUGCACUUGACAGAGGUACAUAUCCUCACCAUCAUUUUGAAGAUGAAGGAGUUGAGACAGGAUAAGCUGUUGUCACUGGUCCACUGUCACAGCACCAGGGUUUGGAAGAGCAGAGCUUGUCUUAUACCAGUUCAAACUUCUCAAAGUCAAAAUCAAAAUAAUGACAAAACACAUUUACUUCCAACUCAGUGGGAGCUUUUUCACUGACCUGCCACUCUGAGAUAUGACAAACCUUGAAUAAGUCAAAAGGAUAAGAAGUGAGAAAGUAGAUGAAGAGUAUAUAAGGUGAAGUAAAAUGUGAAUAAGAAACAAAAAGCAUCCGUAGAUUUACAAAUAAAGUUAAAGACCUCUAAGAAAAGUAGCCACAUCAUCCGUUUUAGAGAACUCCUGCCAUCCACAUGAGGUGUGAUGCACUGUUUCACUCCUCAGCUGCUGAUGGCCUCUUGUCCAAACAGUGGAGAGCUGCACAACUCAUCUAUCCCUCAUCUAUCAGGUCAUGAAAAAUAUUGCCCAUUAUGGCAAAGGCAUAUUUGCUUGGAUGAUAAGACUUAUACGGGUCCUAGUUACACCAUCAUCUGCAUCAACACACAGCAUUUUUGCCAGGAGCAAAGAGGGCAGCAGCUUACAAGCAAAAAUCAGUUGUUCUGGAAGACCUGCCUUUCAAAAGUUAGGAGCAUGAGUUCCCUGUACUAUCAGUAGAAGUUUUAAAAAAGGUGGGGGUAAGGAAGAACCAUAGUCUAAGUUAUACAUCUUAUGUUAGAUGAUUUUAUAUUAACUAUAGAGUGCAAAAACACAACUGAAAAACUCUGAGUUUGCUGCUUGUUCUGCAAUCUCAUUAAUCACUUUUAUUUAAACAUGAGCAGCUUAAGGUUAGCUAUGCUUCGUCUGCUGUGCACUGGCCAUUGAGACAGUAAAUGUUUGGGGAUCUCUGCACAUUUUCUUACUUUUAAGGAAACCCAGAUGUAAGCAAAGGGGAGAGAAUGUAAACCCCAGAGAGCCAGACAGUCUCUGUCAAGUGCCAGCUAAGCAGCCUGUGGUGCUUCUGGGCUGCUCUGCUUUAUGCCACCCAGCACGGAGCGCACAACCUGACAAUGCAGCCCACCCCCAGGUUGACCAACCAGCUGAAUUGCUCUCCCUGUGGGGCUCAGAUAUCAUAACCACAGACAUUAUUGCUAAAUAGUCAGCAAAAUUCCAUUUGCAGUGUAAAGUAUCUGACAGUUAGUAUUUCGGAGCUGUAUAUUGCUUGAAUAGAAACCAAAAUUACUCUAUAUGAUAAAGUUAAUGGUGUACAGUUUGUAAGUUAGUUAUAACAACACCUCAAGCAUUUCUACAAAACUUAAUUUAAUAUUCCAACUCAUUAAAAAUCUUAUUACAGAAACCACUUACAGGCUUUAUAAACACAUUUUUAUAUUAUUAGGGAAGGAUCUUAAUAAAGAACAAUUUGAAUGCAGAAAUGCACAUGUAGAGUAAAUUGCUUAUAGUAAAACUAGCUAAACAAAAUUUGCUGUCAGCAAACCUCCUGACUAGUUUCUUCAUCUGCUUUACAAAUGUGCUAUGUUUCAGUGUAUCUAGACCUUUCCUAAUAGAAAGUGCGUACCAGAGAAUUCCAGCAACUGAGAUAAAGGUGCAAACAUUGGCCUUAAUGCUGCCCUGUGAGCCAAAAUAUCCCAGAGCAGUCAAUGACGAGUACUUGGAGUUGAUUAUGACAAUGAAUGUAACUCCCAUCUCUAGAAAUUUCUCUCUUUCAAGCUGCACCAAUUAUUUAAUAGUAAAAAUUAAAAACGAUAUUGAAUCUUUGGACAAACCUCAACAGCGUCUCUCAUAGAAAACCAGUGUUGAUCUACUUAUAAUAUCAUUUGUUACAUUUAGCUACUGUUUUAUUAUAUUUACUAAUUAUCAUCAUACUGUGACAUCUCAUGGUGAUAUACCAGCAAAAUUAAUCAUUAAAAGAAUUACCUGAAAGCAAGUAUAUUUCAUCUACAUAAUGGUUUUUUAAACGAAAGCAAUAGACUGGUAGUGACUUAAUGGUUGGUUUGCAAUCAGAGUAAGAACCAACUCUGUUAUACAUCAUCUGCAUUCUUCAUGAGCAUUGCUGUUGUUGCUUUUCACAUUAUGUAAAUUGUAGAAACCUGUAAGAUUUGAAUCUUCUGUGGCAGAUAUUUUUAUUCUUAUGUUUUAAAUUUUGUGCACUCGCAGCCUCAAAUAGGUAUAAUUUCAAAUCUCUAUAAAUAACAUAAUUUGUUGUUUUCAGUAACACUUAAAAUGUUAAUCUGCAGAUCCCUAUCUUAAUGAAUUAGUAGUGUUUUCUAUGUACAAAAUAAAUGCAAAAGGUCAGCUUAUUAUCCAAAAAACUACUGUGAAGUGAGAGAAUUAAUUUUGUUUUUCUGCUGAAACUGCAUGCAAUCACAGAGGUUCAUAUGGGUGAAGUAUUAUUAAGUUCUGUUCACUGACACAUACCACAAAAUACAAAAAAAGAGCUAAGAAGUACAGGCCACUGAAAUUACUCCUACAUGCAAUCAGGUUGUUUAAAAAAUAGGCUUUCUAGACAUUUUGACGGCAGACCCAUAGCUGCGGUUAAUCCUCCAUUUAUCCCUGCUCCUCUCUACAGGGGUGUACUUGUGAGCCUGCUGGAGCCAAGUCUCGCUCCCCUAGAGCAGCAGAGCACAAGGGGCACAAGCCCCCUCCAUGAGGCAGGUUCAAAGUGGCAGCUGUGGAAAGGUCACCUGAGCCAGAGAUACAGAAGGAGAGCCUGCUUCUGUUCAUCUCUCAUGGUGGCAGGGAGGGGCAUGAAGGGAUGGGAAGGAGUGGGGCUUCUGGGAACUGAGUCAAGGAUAGAGAAGACAGUGGGUUACGUAGUUAUUAAUAUGCCAUUAUUACGAAAACACUGAACCAGGAAGCAAGAUUCACUAGAGAGAAUACAGGGAGGAACCAGGAACACAUGGCCACACGUACAACAGCCACAGCCUACCUGCAUUAGUUCUCUCUUUACCUUCCUCCAUUUUCAAAACCCAGUGCUCACCAGCAAGCUGUGGGUGUACAGAGCUUCGACCGCUUUGACUGCCUGGUGUACAUCUGGUCCCAUUCUUCCCUUCCAGCCUAGAAGCACCUGAGGUCCUCACUCAUGACCACCAGUGAGUCCACACCCAGAGCAAAAUUCAAAAUUUGUAAUUCAUAGCUUUCUUCCUUACUACCAUGCAUGAGGAUGAGGGAUCAACAGAGGUGGCUGCCUUGUCUCAUAUGUGCCUGCCUCAUCUCAAAGCUGCAAGCCCUUCAGCCAGGAUCCCUCUCACAUCUCAGGAGAUCAAAAAGCUGCAGAAGAUGUCACAGAUGACUUCUGGAGGUUUUCUGCAGGGAGAACAGGUAGCUGAUGCAAUGAAGAGUGAUGUGAAAACAUGGCCAAGCUCUCUGAGGGCUUCUGUUGUCCCUAAGCUGUCAUUGCUUUGCAGUUUAACUCCUCAGAUGGCUCAG